rnacentral:tRNA from 1 species
GGGCCCGUAGCUCAGCUUGGUUGGAGCGACAGGCUCAUAACCUGUUGGUCAUGGGUUCAAAUCCCAUCGGGCCCACCA